rnacentral:misc_RNA from 1 species
CCCAACUAUCCCUAUUAAUCAUUACAAUGGUCCUAGAAACCAACAAAAUAGAAUCAUUGUCCUAUUCUAUUAUUCCAUGCUAAUGUAUUCCGGCAUAAGCCUGCUUUAAACACUCUAAUUUUUUCAAGGUAAAGGUCUUGACUCUUCGCAACACCCACUAAAGGGCAUUACGCCUCAUCAAGCGGUGAGGCCCAACCGACCAGUACUCGUUACAAGAACGGACCAAUCGGCCAAGCCCAAAAUUCAACUACGAGCUUUUUAACUGCAACAACUUUAAUAUACGCUAUUGGAGCUGGAAUUACCGCGGCUGCUGGCACCAGACUUGCCCUCCAA